rnacentral:rRNA from 1 species
GAUGAACGCUGGCGGCGUGCUUAACACAUGCAAGUCGAGCGAUGAAGUUUCCUUCGGGAAACGGAUUAGCGGCGGACGGGUGAGUAACACGUGGGUACCCUGCCUCAUAGAGUGGAAUAGCCUUUCGAAAGGAAGAUUAAUACCGCAUAAUGUUGAAAGAUGGCAUCAUCAUUUAACCAAAGGAGCAAUCCGCUAUGAGAUGGACCCGCGGCGCAUUAGCUAGUUGGUGGGGUAACGGCCUACCAAGGCGACGAUGCGUAGCCGACCUGAGAGGGUGAUCGGCCACAUUGGGACUGAGACACGGCCCAGACUCCUACGGGAGGCAGCAGUGGGGAAUAUUGCACAAUGGGGGAAACCCUGAUGCAGCAACGCCGCGUGAGUGAUGAAGGUUUUCGGAUCGUAAAGCUCUGUCUUUGGGGAAGAUAAUGACGGUACCCAAGGAGGAAGCCACGGCUAACUACGUGCCAGCCGCCGCAGUAAAAC